UAAAUUCCCAGUGGGUUGCAUUCUAUAUGUACUGAGCUGAAAUCCAGUUAAUUAUCCCAGUUCAGCACAGGAGUGACUUUCCAGGAGGAAGAGAAUGCGGCAGAUUCAGAGAGCGACGAUACGAGGCAUAAUAAGCACCGCUGCGGAGUGUCCUCGCCUCAUCAGAUUCGCUCUACAACCUCCUAAAAGUGUAAGCUUUUUAUUUUCAAUUCUUCUGAAAUUUAUUUAGUUUAUGGUUUGAGUUUUGCUCAUUAUUAGUGUCUUUCUUUUCUUUUAUAUGCUUCCUUUUUCACUGGGUUUUGUACUUCUUUGUAUAGUCGAGUUUAGUAAAAUACCCACGUGAAUUCUUGAGUUUCUGGACACAGAAAAAGAUUCCAAGGAAAGAAUCGUGUCCACUAAUUGGAGUCUCUAAUUGCUUACUUAGGGUGCCCCUUUUCCAUAGAUGUUAUUUGAGAUUAAUUUAUUGGGAUACAAUUUAAAGGUAGUGUUUUGUUGGAUUCGGUAUAUUUUGUUGUUGGAUGCAUCAGUAAAAGAACUAAACUAGUCUGUGUCGAUGCUUUAGAUUCACUUUUGCUAAUAAGUUUGUAGCAUAAUUUGACGGCUUCCUCGUACUCAAUAAGAAAAUGUAAAAUGAAAGGGGAAACACAAUGACAACUGCCAAAAUUGGGACUGCUUAUUCAUUUCCAUUGAAAGAGGGAAUGCCUGACCACAAUGUAAACAGACCAACCUUUAGUGUCAUUGUAUUGUUUCUUUUUUUUUUUCUUGUCAUGGGAAUUUUUGUGUGUAUAUAUUUUAGAGUUGGAUUCCCUCGUCUGGAAUCUGUGUCGGUCAGUCUUUCAUACUGUGUGAAAAAUGAGAAGAAUCAGCAUAUGUUGGUUCUAUAAAGCUAGAAUGAUGGUGGCAAUUUUGAUUUCAAGAUGUUUAGUCAACUGUAGAGUGUAGAAUGUAAUAUUCACUUACUUAUAUCUACAUAAAUGAUCUGUUUUAAUUACAAUGUUGGGAUUCAUCUGUCUUACUAUAAAUUUCUGUGUUAGGUAGAGGUGGAAUACGCCAAUGGUACUGUGUACAAUUUGUCAGCUGAAUUCUUAAGAAUACAUAGCCCAGCUGCUGAUAGUAAGAUCAGAUCAGUAGGAGGAGAAAAGGUAAUUGGUUUUUUUUUUCCCACCAUUCUAUCUUUCCCCCCACUUCAAACAGAUGCAAAGGAGUGGUAGUUUGUCUUUUUUUUUAAAUAAUCUUUUCUAUGCUAUGUGCUACACAUAUUAUUCAGGGUCUGCUUUUUGGGUCAUGUUCAUAUGUGAUCGCCAUGGAAUUAUUAAUGUCAAAUAAGAUUAAUGCAGAACUUAUGAAUUGUUAUUCUCACUAAGAGUUUUUGUAUUGAAAACACUUGUUAAGAUCAUCCAGUAAUAUUUUGUAUCUAGAAUUUGGAAAUCGUUGAUGAUUUCAGAUCCACGUGUUGUUAUAACUAGUCAAUAGUCCUGCUUUAUAACACAAGAUGUGCAAAUGCUGACAUAACUUUUUCUUUUCCCUUCAUAUAUACUAGACUGUUUUAGUUGAUCUUGAAAAUUCACCAAUAUAUUGUUUCUCUUUUCUUUUCUUUUCUUACUACACUGUUUUAGUUGAUCUAGAAAUUCACCAGUAUAUUGUUUCUUUUUGCUUUUCUUACUGUAGAUAUACAUUUAAAAUGCUUAUAAUGCAAGUAGGCAUAAUUCACUUGAUAAGUGCAUGUGAACCUUGACAAUCAGUUUACCGUUCAUCAAAAAAGUGCUGAUUGAGUUCCUGGAUUACCCUGAUUCAGGUGAUAUUUGGACGGCGUCAUGUGGGAAUCAUGUCUGGAGAACCCGUCUACGGGGUAAGGUAGUCUAAGCUUAAAAGUUACUUUGUGCAUUUAAAAGUUUUUUUUUUUUAAAUUGAAAAUUUAAAUAACUCUUUCUAUUAUUUAUUCAGUUCUGGUUACCUUGGUGGGUGUUGUAGGUUACGUUUUGAUGACUUGCAUAAAACUGGGAUUUACACAUGGGAUUAUCUGUAUCAUAUUGGGAGCAACAAGUUCACCCUCAUGAGAAAUUAUAUCAAAACUUUAAAGAAGCAUGGGCUGAGCCGAGAUCCAGGUAGAAGAAAAUAAUGGUGAAUUUUCAACAUGAAGAUCUCAUUCACUAAGGAAAGUUAUAAUGAUGUCUAAACAAAAAACUUGGUGUUGGAGCCAGAAGGAAAAGUGUUGUUAAAUUAAGAUACAGGAAUACUUUUUUGUUACUGUCUAUUUGAUAAAGUUCAGCUCGAUCUUGAGGUUGUAAAAUUUCAUGUACACAUGUACUCUUUCCGAGUUCAAAUAUAGGUCAUGUGCAAGUUUUCCUGCCAGCCAUUCUAGUAUUUCCAAGAAACAUUUUAAUUUGAGUAAUUGGAAUGUUAUUCCGCAAUGUUACUUGUCCACCAACAAAUGUUCCUCUCUUUUCAAGUAAUUGGAAACUUUAGCUACAAACUCG
rnacentral:lncRNA from 1 species